rnacentral:rRNA from 1 species
ACUGCUCAGUAACACGUGGCUAAUCUGCCCUUAGGACGAGAACAACCCCGGGAAACUGGGGCUAACUCUUGAUAGGUGAAGAACUCUGGAAUGAGUCUUUGCCUAAAAAGAUUCACGUUAUCCUCGUGAACCUGCCUAAGGAUGAGGCCGCGACCGAUCAGGUUGUUGGCGAGGUAAUGGCUCACCAAGCCUUUUACCGGUGCGGGCCGUGGGAGCGGGAGCCCGGAGAUGGGUACUGAGACAAGGACCCAGGCCCUACGGGGCGCAGCAGUCGCGAAACCUUUGCAAUAAGCGAAAGCUUGACAGGGCUAUCCCGAGUGCCAUCCGCUGAGGAAGGCUUUUACCCAGUCUAGAACGCUGGGGGAAUAAGGAGAGGGCAAGUCUGGUGUCAGCCGCCGCGGUAAUACCAGCUCUCCGAGUGGUGUGGAUGUUUAUUGGGCCUAAAGCAUCCGUAGCUGGCUAAGUUAGUCCCUUGUUAAAUCCACCGAAUUAAUCGUUGGAUCGCGGGGGAUACUGCUUGGCUAGGGGACGAGAGAGGCAGACGGUAUUUUCGGGGUAGGGGUGAAAUCCUAUAAUCCCGGGAAGACCACCAGUGGCGAAGGCUGUCUGCUAGAACGCGCCCGACGGUGAGGGAUGAAAGCUGGGGGAGCGAACCGGAUUAGAUACCCGGGUAGUCCCAGCUGUAAACGAUGCAGACUAGGUGUUUGGACGGCCACGUGCCGUUCUAGUGCCGCAGGGAAGCUGUUAAGUCUGCCGCCUGGGGAGUACGAUCGCAAGAUUGAAACUUAAGGAAUUGGCGGGGGAGCAC